UAUCAUAACUACAUCUGAGAUCAUCGGCUUAGGCAGGGUCAAAGCUCACUGACAAACCCGCCCGGAUUUAACUCAGCACAAUUCGGCUGAUCGCUUUCAGAUUCGACCAUUUUCCAUCUGGAUAACAUCGGCUGCUCUAACUAACGCAGACCAAACAUCCGCAUUACUCAUCCUUUUUCCGUGUUUCUUGGCACAUCCCCAGAUUAGAUAUUUUUUUUUCAUGGACCCGCUUAGCAAUCACCCUUUUUCAUCAUAUUACAAAUGAAUCCAUGAAUCAUCCAUGAUCAGGGUAACUAGUUAAGUUAACUAGUUAGUUAGUUAGUUAUGGUGUGCCCGAUUAUUAAUAUUUUCAGUGUCUCGAUUAUCAUGAUGCCCCAUCAUGUUAAUCUAAACUGCCUCGCGAAAUAACCAUCUGCCCAGUAACUAACUAAUCUCUCUGCCUGAGGAGCCCUGCCCCCUAAUUCCGUCGCCUAGUUAUACUACGAGUGAGUACAUUGAGUACGUACUACGUAGCUGAGGUUCCUUUAUCAGACACAGCAACCAAUUAUAUUGUCGAAUCCGCAAUGAUUCAGCCGUGUCCAACCGCAUCGCGCCUCUUCAAACAUGACAUGACAUGUAGUUAGUUAGAUCUAACUAUCUCUUUAACUUACUUAACUAACUAAUCAUGGUGCCUAACGUAAUCUCCAAGGCUACCGGUAAAGGAGCUAUCCCGUUUCGGUAACGACUGCGAAUUUCGCUACGAAGUGCUCAAGCAGGCAUUCUCCGUAAUUAGCCAGCUUUGUUUCGAUGAGGAAUUCCUGGUGCCUGAAACACGCCCUGCUGCUCAGCCUCCUUACUGCCCUUGCACGUCGUACUCGCUUCAAUCUCCGAAGGUUAAUAUAAUAGUACUAAUACACGAGUGUAGCAUUCCUUCUUCCUCGUAUUCGUGUCAUGAUGAUUCACCCUUUUUAGUGUCUUAAGCUUGUUGAGGCUGAGCUGAGUCAUAUUUCGCAUUGGCCAAUUACGUCCGGCGGACAGUACACCUGGCUGGACCGCUAGCAUAGCCUUGCCAUCGGUUUCCAUAUCCGGAUUGAUUUGAUUUUUUUUCUCUUGUUCUCCCUUUCCUUGAGUAAGAGAACUUAGCUAGCUACGUUAGUGAAUGUGCAGGCUGCAUGAUUAUCUCAUCAAUUAUUCGUUUUAUUCGUUUAAGUUAACUUAACUUAAUUGAUUUUCGCUUGCGUAUCGCAUUGUUCACUAAUCCAUCAAUCCCAGAUGCCCCCCCUACGUAGCAAUUGGCAUAAACGCAAAACGACCUGCGACACGGAGAGUCGGUGUUUCGGUACUUCGGAUAUUGCAAAAACCACUGCAUAAUUAUUUGACACUUGCCACUAAACCAUAAAUAGAUUAGAUCGCCGAAGUUUCUGCGGACGGAUAUCAAAGGAUAUUUUCGUCCGAUGGGCAAAUCAGCGAGCCAGAAGGGACACCUGACUCAGGCAGUCGCCGGCCGGCUGUGACAAAUUCCGGGGUGCACAAAGGCUAAGAGCAUCGACUCAUCGAGACCAGCAAUGCCAAGACAAACAGAGCAAACAGAGCAACGCCAGCAAAAGGAGUCGAUGAUGUCAUGAGUUGCGGCCGAAAAAUUUUCCGUCUUCCGUUUUCGUCCAGCCCUUCAGCCCUACUGGCUGACAUAACGCCACUUGUUUAGUUAACUACGUAUUUUUGCAUUUGAUUAAAUCUAAUCUCCGGAGUAUUUACGGAGAUUCAAGGCCUGGAUUCUAGAA
rnacentral:lncRNA from 1 species